GGGGGUCUGGCUCAAUGGUAGAGCACUUGCCUAGCAUGCCUGAGACCCUGAGGUCAAGCCCCAGUAUCCCCU
rnacentral:tRNA from 1 species